GAAUAUUGCGCAAUGGAGGAAACCCUGACGCAGCGACGCCGCGUGAGCGAAGAAGGCCUUCGGGUCGUAAAGCUCUGUUCUCAGGGAAGAAGAAAGUGACGGUACCUGAGAAGAAAGCCCCGGCUAACUACGUGCCAGCAGCCGCGGUAAUACGUAGGGGGCAAGCGUUGUCCGGAAUUAUUGGGCGUAAAGGGUGCGUAGGCGGCCCUUUAAGUCAGAUGUGAAAGCCCACGGCUUAACCGUGGGACUGCAUUUGAAACUGGAGGGCUUGAGUGUCGGAGAGGGCAGUGGAAUUCCCAGUGUAGCGGUGGAAUGCGUAGAUAUUGGGAGGAACACCAGUGGCGAAGGCGACUGCCUGGACGAUAACUGACGCUGAGGCACGAAAGCUAGGGGAGCAAACA
rnacentral:rRNA from 1 species